ACAAAGGCUCUUUUCAGAGCCACCCACUUUUUUCAGUAAAAAGUG
rfam:Cricetulus griseus cell line CHO-K1, whole genome shotgun sequence.